rnacentral:rRNA from 1 species
AUUCCAGCUCCAAUAGCGUAUAUUAAAGUUGUUGCAGUUAAAAAGCUCGUAGUUGGAGUUCGGGGAAAGCUCAGUCGGUCGGCCUAAUGGGUCAGAACUGGCUGACUCUCUCUUGUUUGCGGAUCCCUCCCGGAGUUAACUCUUCAGGUUGUGGAGUCCGCAUCGUUUACCUUGAAAAAAUUAGAGUGUUCAAAGCAGGCGUUUGCUUGAAUAUAUUAGCAUGGAAUAAUGGAAUAGGACCCUGGUUCUAUUUUGUUGGUUUUGAGAGCCAGAGUAAUGAUUAAUAGGGAUAGUUGGGGGCAUUCAUAUUUCAUUGUCAGAGGUGAAAUUCUUGGAUUUAUGAAAGAUGAACUUCUGCGAAAGCAUUUGCCAAGGAUGUUUUCAUUG